rnacentral:rRNA from 1 species
UACAGAGGUCUCAAGCGUUGUUCGGAUUCAUUGGGCGUAAAGCGCGCGUAGGCGGAUCUGCAAGUCGGGGGUGAAAUCCCGAGGCUCAACCUCGGAACUGCCUUCGAUACUGCGGGUCUCGAGUCCGGGAGAGGUGAGUGGAAUUCCUAGUGUAGAGGUGAAAUUCGUAGAUAUUAGGAAGAACACCAGUGGCGAAGGCGGCUCACUGGCCCGGUACUGACGCUGAGGCGCGAAAGCGUGGGGAGCAAACAGGG